rnacentral:rRNA from 1 species
UACGAAGGGGGCUAGCGUUGUUCGGAAUCACUGGGCGUAAAGGGCGCGUAGGCGGCCGAUCAAGUCGGGGGUGAAAGCCUGUGGCUCAACCACAGAAUGGCCUUCGAUACUGGUUGGCUCGAGACCGGAAGAGGUGAGUGGAACUGCGAGUGUAGAGGUGAAAUUCGUAGAUAUUCGCAAGAACACCAGUGGCGAAGGCGGCUCACUGGUCCGGUUCUGACGCUGAGGCGCGAAAGCGUGGGGAGCGAACAGG